rnacentral:lncRNA from 1 species
CCAGCUGGGUGGAGGGCACGCCCAAUAAUUGCUGGGGCGUUUACAUAUGUCAGGGGCGCGGAGAGCUGCAGGGCUGUGGGCGGUGAGAGGCUGCCUGCCUGUCCCGUUAUAGACUAGUAUUUUGAUCCCCUUUACAGCCGAGGUCUGAAAUAGCCCCCCGACGGGUGCGGCAGCUGCCGCCGAGUUGGGGAAACUUGGGACUUGCAGUGGGUUGGGGAGGGGGCGCUUUGCUCUCUGCUCCGCGCUGAGGGCCCCGCCUUCGCUGCCCGAGCAGGCACCCUCGUGGAAGUCCGUGCCACCUGCGUGGGGGGCCAAGUGCCGGCUGCCGGAGGAGCACAGGCCGUCCCUGGACGCUGGGAAUGCCAAUCCAGACCAGAGAGGAAGCACGCAACCGGAGGGGUGGAAUCUGCUACCGGAACUGAAGAGAGGUGCUCACCCGUGGUCCAGCAGCUGAACUACAAGUGCCAUACCCUGGAUAAGGACUCUCAGGGGCUCUCAGCUCCCAGCUGGCCCAGUAAUGAAAACCCCAGCUCUGGCCAGUGCUGCCUGCAGCACCAGCAUCCCAUCUGGCACCAGUUCCUCUCCUGGCUGCUCGCCUCCGUAUCUAGCUCUCUGCUUAUGGCCUGGGAAAGUGGUGGAAGAUGGUCCAAGUACUUGGGCCCCAGCACCCAUGUGGGAGACCUGGAAGAAGCUCCUGGCUUUGGAUCGGCCCAGCUCUGGCUGUUCCAGCCAUUUGGGGGGUGAACCAGUGGAUGAAAGAUCUCUUUCCCUCUCCUCUCUGUCUGUAACUCUGCUUCUCAAAUAAAUAAAUAAAUAAAUCCCA